rnacentral:rRNA from 1 species
AUUGAACGCUGGCGGCAUGCUUUACACAUGCAAGUCGAACGGUAACAGGCCUUCGGGUGCUGACGAGUGGCGAACGGGUGAGUAAUGCAUCGGAACGUGCCCAGAGGUGGGGGAUAACGCAGCGAAAGCUGUGCUAAUACCGCAUGUGAUCUGAGGAUGAAAGCGGGGGACCAGGCAGCAAUGUUUGGCCUCGCGCCUUUGGAGCGGCCGAUGUCAGAUUAGGUAGUUGGUGGGGUAAAGGCCUACCAAGCCGACGAUCUGUAGCUGGUCUGAGAGGACGACCAGCCACACUGGGACUGAGACACGGCCCAGACUCCUACGGGAGGCAGCAGUGGGGAAUCUUGGACAAUGGGCGCAAGCCUGAUCCAGCAAUGCCGCGUGCGGGAAGAAGGCCUUCGGGUUGUAAACCGCUUUUGUACGGAACGAAAAGGCUCUGGCUAAUACCUGGGGCUGAUGACGGUACCGGAAGAAUAAGCACCGGCUAACUACGUG